rnacentral:rRNA from 1 species
GAUGAACGCUGGCGGCGUGCUUAACACAUGCAAGUCGAACGGAAAGGCCCAAGCUUGCUUGGCUCUUCGAUUGGCAACCGGGUGAUUAACCCUUGGGUGAUCUGCCUUUCCCUUCGGGUUAAGCUUGGGAAACUGGGUCUAUUCCCGCAUAGGACUUGGUUUUGUUUGCCUUUUUGGAAAGGUUUUUGGUUGUGGGUUGAGGUCGCGGCCUUUCAGUUUUUUGUCGGGGUAUUGGCUUACCAAGGCGUCACCGGGGAGCCGCCUUGAGAGGGUGUACGGCCACAUUGGGAAUGAGAUACGGGCCAGACUCCUACGGGAGGCAGCAGUGGGGAAUAUGGAACAAUGGGCGCAAGCCUGAUGCAGCGACGCCGCGUGGGGGAUGACGGCCUUCGGGUUGUAGACUCCUUUCGCUAGGGACGAAGCGUUUUUGUGACGGUACCUGGAGAAGAAGCACCGGCUAACUACGUG